ACACCUGGUGGUGCUAGGAUAUCCUUUUGUUCUGGUGUGGAUGGCCUGGGCCUUGCUGCCAGCCUCUUGAAGCAUGAGGAUGAAGGGUGCUAUUUUGGAGCAGAGAUAUCCUGUUUUCCUCUUGGUUUACAAAGAAAACUCAGUGUCAAGGGAACCGAAGACUGGGAUGUGCUGGACUAAUAAAUUUAUCUGAAGCCAAGAAUGCCCCUGGUUUGGCUCUGGAAAGAGUACUAAGCAGCCAAGGACGUUUGGAUGGUCAAAUCCAACCCAGUACGGUCUUCUGCCUGUUCCUUGCUUCUGUGAUGUCACUACUGACUACUGAGUAAGUUUGAGAAGGAAAAUACUAUUAAAUACUUU